UACAGAGGGGGCAAGCGUUAUUCGGAAUUAUUGGGCGUAAAGGGCGCGUAGGCGGCCUGGCAAGUGGAAGGUGAAAUCCCUCGGCUUAACCGAGGAACUGCCCUCCAAACUGCUUGGCCUGAGACCGGGAGAGGUGAGUGGAAUUCCCAGUGUAGCGGUGAAAUGCGUAGAUAUUGGGAGGAACACCAGUGGCGAAGGCGGCUCACUGGACCGGUACUGACGCUGAGGCACGAAAGCGUGGGGAGCAAACGGG
rnacentral:rRNA from 1 species